UCUUGAGUUUCUUUUUCAUGUUAUGUUUUUGUAUUGUUUUAGUUGUAGGAGUUCACUCCUUGCCACCAUAACAUGCUUGAUGAUGUGGUUGACAAUGUAUGCACCUUAAACUUCACUAGUACGAUUAGAAUUUAUGUGUUCAAGUUAGUGUAAAUAAAUGAUAUUGUUGUUACUGAUGAGUUAGGUCUUUUUCUUGAAUUUCAAUUCUGCUUGUUUUUGGCCCCCAUGUGAUUCGGGUGAAGGCUUGUUUUUACAAUUGUUGAAUACCCUGUCUCAUUGCUUGCUUAAUGAAAGUUUAGAAGGAAUGAUUGCUGGCUUAAAAGACAAAUGUUUUGUUAUCCAAAUACUUGAGGUAUAAUAUGAGUAUUAGGGCAGGGAGAGGGAAAUGUUGCCUUAUGGAGGAGUGAAAACUUCUUUGCAUUUUCAGAACUUCGGAACUUGUGGAAGUGGUUCUGCAAGGGAGAAAUGGGUCAGUUUUCUGUUAUGGUUCCACUGGAGUUGGGAAAACUUACGCAAUGCUUGGUACAAUUUAGAGCACAGGGGUGAUGGUGUUGGCAAAUAAGGACCUUUUCAGUAAAAUCAGUCAGAGAAGUUGUGAUGGAAACCAUGUCGUUCAUCUGUCCUAUCUUGAGGUUUAUAAUGAAACUGUGAUAGAUUUGCUUUCACCUGGAAGACCUCUGGUUCUUAGAGAAGAUAAACAGGGUCUGAUUUUGGUUCAAGAAGUUUCUCAUCAUCAAUUGGGGGGACAACAACCAACUAUGCUAUUGUGGUGCUCCAUGUAAGGUUCGAGAUUGUAAAAUUGAAGGAACCCCGGGAGGAAGUUUUUGGGUUGUAGAAGACAUGGUGGGUCUUCCACACAUUGUGAUUUCCUUUUUUGGUGUGAUGACACAAGUCCAAGAUCAAUGAAGUUUCACAUUGAUUUAUUGAAGAACAUAAAACAUUGAUUUAUUGAAGAACAUAAAACAUGUGAAGAAGUGGUAGCAAAAAAUGCACGUGUUGACCUUGGAGGGAAGCAAGUAAGAAUGAAAAUAUUUGUCUUGGGAAGAAGUUAAGAAUAGUCAUAGCUUGUCAACUAGUGCUUAUGGCAUACGUUUGGUUCAAUAUUUGUAAAUGAGUGGUUUGAUCGAGCUAUCUAUAACUUAAAACUAUUAUGAACCACUCUUGGCUCACAUAUUCAACUGAUAUGAAAUCUUGGGUUUGCAUAUGAAAA